GGUGUAGGCGGCUUGGCAAGUCGGGUGUGAAAUCCCUGGGCUCAACCCAGGAACUGCACUCGAAACUGCUUCGCUAGAGUCCCGGAGAGGAUGGCGGAAUUCCCGGUGUAGAGGUGAAAUUCGUAGAUAUCGGGAGGAACACCAGUGGCGAAGGCGGCCAUCUGGACGGUGACUGACGCUCAGACCCGAAAGCGUGGGUAGCAAACAGGAUUAGAUACCCUGGUAGUC
rnacentral:rRNA from 1 species